ACCAGGUUGAUUCUGCCUGACGUAGACGCUAUACUCUAAGAUUAACCCAUGCAUGUCAUUCAAUAUAAAGAAAAGACGAACAGCUCAUUAUAGAUAAUAAUAAUACAAUAAGAAUAAGAUCUAUCACUUAGUUGUUAAGGUAAUGGCUUAACAAGACUAUGACGGAUAACGGUAUUACUUUGCAAUAUUCCGGAGAAGGAGCCUGAAAGAUUGCUACUAAAUUUAAGGAUUGCAGCAGGGGCGAAACUUGACCUAUGAUAUGAUAUUGAGGCAGUUAUGAGUAGUAUUUUCUAAUUAUUGUACUAUUGUAAGUAUAUACUACAAGAUAAAUCGGAGGGCAAAUCGAGUGCCAGCAUCCGCGGUAAUAUUU
rnacentral:rRNA from 1 species